ACGGGUGAGUAAUACAUCGGAACGUGCCCGAGAGUGGGGGAUAACGAAGCGAAAGCUUUGCUAAUACCGCAUACGAUCUCAGGAUGAAAGCAGGGGACCGCAAGGCCUUGCGCUCACGGAGCGGCCGAUGGCAGAUUAGGUAGUUGGUGGGAUAAAAGCUUACCAAGCCGACGAUCUGUAGCUGGUCUGAGAGGACGACCAGCCACACUGGGACUGAGACACGGCCCAGACUCCUACGGGAGGCAGCAGUGGGGAAUUUUGGACAAUGGGCGCAAGCCUGAUCCAGCCAUGCCGCGUGCAGGAUGAAGGCCUUCGGGUUGUAAACUGCUUUUGUACGGAACGAAAAGACUCUGGUUAAUACCUGGGGUCCAUGACGGUACCGUAAGAAUAAGCACCGGCUAACUACGUGCCAGCAGCCGCGGUAAUACGUAGGGUGCGAGCGUUAAUCGGAAUUACUGGGCGUAAAGCGUGCGCAGGCGGUUAUAUAAGACAGAUGUGAAAUCCCCGGGCUCAACCUGGGAACUGCAUUUGUGACUGUAUAGCUAGAGUACGGCAGAGGGGGAUGGAAUUCCGCGUGUAGCAGUGAAAU
rnacentral:rRNA from 1 species